CAAGAGCUGCAUGUCAAACUAUACAUCUAUUUUUGAAGCGGAGGAAAACAAAAACUUAUUAAUACACAUUUCUUUAUGAUAUAAACAACUAUAGAACAUAUUACACUGAUAAACAAGGGAAACCAGACAGAAGUUGAACGAAAAAUUGAACGAUCACCACCCAAAUCAGACUAGGUGAUCCAACAAGGAAUUGACAGAUAAUCCACUGAUAUAUAAUUGGGAUAGCACAUUAUGAUAGUCAAUCAAUCAAUAACGUAUGCUGUAAUCCAUAAUUAGUUAGAGUCGGUUAUGUUAAUCCUAAGUACCCAUUGCGCUCGAUAAAAACUCUACUAGAUGAUUUGACUUUUAAAGUAAAUCAGUAGUUCUUUAAACUAAAAAGGGUUUCUAAGUCUCACACUUAUUUCUGCAAUGGCAUAUAAGCCUAACGAUAAUAAGAAGACUCCCAGAAAUUAUCAGACCUAAUGUAAGUGCAAUAAUCAAUAAUAACUAAGUCCUAAUCUAGCUAAUUGAUAAAACCUAUAUGGACAUCUUCUUUCAUUUUGUUCUAUUCAGCUAAAUCCAUAUCGAUUUCAAAGUAUGUCUUUUCUGACAACUUCUCUCUAUGUGAUUUUACGUCUACUUCUUUCUCUUCACCUUCAGUUAUUAUGGUGACGUACCUAUAAACUGGUGCAUAUGCAAAUCUUGCAGAAUACGGUCAAACAAUCUAGGUUUAUUCUCAUUUAUAAGCUAUUUGUGUUACUUGUAUCCUUGUUGAAGAUCUCAUAUAUCCUUUGCAUUUUGUGAUUUUUUUUGUAGAUAUGUUGGGUUUCAGAGUCCCAAUAUUACAUCUAAUAUUACUAUCUUCACAAGCAUUCUAUAGACAUUUUCUUUCCCUUAGUUAUCUUCCAUUCAAAUUACACUUCCCAUAAAACUAUCUCAUUUCAUCCAUCCUAUUUUAGCUCGAUGUGUUACAUCUUCAUCUAUCAUGCCGUUCUCACGGGAAGAUUAAGCUUAGAUUUUUUAACUGUCUUCAUUUAUACACCACAAUUCUUUCUAAUCUCACCUCACUGUCGUUCUUCUUAUACUGCUAAAAUUGCGCAUAUUUCCUCUUGGUUUAUUUUCUAAGGACUUCUAAAUAGUGCCAACUUCUGAAUGACUCUCUUGUUAUAUUUCGUCAAUUAAUACCAUAUCAUAUGCGCGAUCAGUACUUCUUUUAUUUUUUUCCUUUGAUAUCUUGGUUUUAGUUUUCUAAAUGUCUUAUCUUGUUAUUACUUGCUUUGUGCUUCUUCCACCUUUUCUUUAGCUGAGGGUCUAUUGGAAACAACCUCCCUUCCCUUCCAGGGUAGGGAUAAGAAGAGAGUCUAUUGGAAACAGCCUCUCUUCCCUUCCAGGGUAGGGAUAAGGCCGCAUACAUCCUACCCUCCCCAGACUCCACUCGUAGGAAUACGCUGGGUUGUUGUUGUUGUUGUUGUAAUACCAUAUCAUAUGCAAAUAGCAUGUAUCGCGGAACACCAUCCUGUAUACUAUUGGUACUACCCCAUCCAUGAGUAAACAAGUACUAUGCAAUUCGGAACCAUAAUAUGAGGAUCCAUAAGUAGAGUUAACCAGCUCGUAGUUAGGACUUAGGAACCACAAUAUGAGGGAAGUGAAUGUAGUGCAUCACAUACAAGAUAAAAGACAAGCUAUUGAUAAUAGGAACCACCCCAAACAAAGCACCAGUAGAAAGCUCAACUUACAACCAACUAAAAAGAAUCAUCCAAAAUCACUACCAUUGUGAAAAUAACCAUCAAAUGAAACACUUCCAAUACCAUAAGACCCAAAAAAAGGAAGAAGAAUAAA
rnacentral:lncRNA from 1 species